rnacentral:lncRNA from 1 species
CUCUCCCUUUUCCCACCUAAACUCUCCCGUCUUCUUCCCCCUUCCCUUCUCUUCCUUCCCCUCCUUUUCCUUCUUCCUCCUCUUCCCCUCCCCUUCCCCUCCUUUCCCUUCUUUCUCCCCCUCCCAUUCCUCCUUUCUUCCCCCACCCUGCCUUCUCUUCCUUUCCCUUCUGUCCCCGUUAAGAUUAAAUGCAUGUCCAGGUUAGUCCAGGUUGUUUCACAAACAGCUGAAGAUGGAAACUGAGAGAUACCGAUGUCUGAUUCUGGGGAAGUCGCCACUCCCAGAGAAAGAACUAUGAGAAAGACUGCACUGAACAUGGUGCCUGCUCUCUUGUGUGAAGUGGAGACAGAGUGAAGACAGUUCUCACUGACCUGGCAGGAUGAAGAGGACUUCCCAGACAGAGCUAUUACUAGAAUCAGAAGACAACUU